rnacentral:lncRNA from 1 species
UCCUCGGCGGCGUCUCCCGCGGAUCCUACGCGCAGGCGCCGUCGCGCGCCUCCGAGUCCGUCUUCAGCGACGACCUCUCGAGCAAUGGAUCCUACUCCCAGAACGUCGGCCACUUUGGCGCGCACGCCUCUUACCAGGCGCACUCGACCGCCGCGGGCGCCCGCGCGAGCUACCGCAACGGUCGCGCCAACUACGUCGCCAACGCCUCCUCCCUCACCACGUCCGCGUGCUCCCAGGCGGGCAAGGCUGCGGUGAUGGUGUGCAUCGUCGUCGGAGCCGCGUUCCUCGCCUUUGG